AUUGAACGCUGGCGGCAGGCCUAACACAUGCAGGUCGAGCGGCAGCGGGAAAGUAGCUUGCUACUUUUGCCGGCGAGCGGCGGACGGGUGAGUAAUGCCUGGGAAAUUGCCCAGUCGAGGGGGAUAACAGUUGGAAACGACUGCUAAUACCGCAUACGCCCUACGGGGGAAAGCAGGGGACCUUCAGGCCUUGCGCGAUUGGAUAUGCCCCGGUGGGAUUAGCUAGUUGGUGAGGUAAUGGCUCACCAAGGCGACGAUCCCUAGCUGGUCUGAGAGGAUGAUCAGCCACACUGGAACUGAGACACGGUCCAGACUCCUACGGGAGGCGGCAGUGGGGAAUAUUGCACAAUGGGGGAAACCCUGAUGCAGCCAUGCCGCGUGUGUGAAGAAGGCCUUCGGGUUGUAAAGCACUUUCAGCGAGGAGGAAAGGUUGACGCCUAAUACGUAUCAACUGUGACGUUACUCGCAGAAGAAGCACCGGCUAACUCCGUGCCAGCAGCCGCCGUAA
rnacentral:rRNA from 1 species